rnacentral:rRNA from 1 species
AACGAACGCUGGCGGCAGGCCUAACACAUGCAAGUCGAGCGAAGCCUUCGGGCUUAGCGGCGGACGGGUGAGUAACGCGUGGGAACGUGCCCUUUGCUACGGAAUAGCCCCGGGAAACUGGGAGUAAUACCGUAUGUGCCCUUCGGGGGAAAGAUUUAUCGGCAAAGGAUCGGCCCGCGUUGGAUUAGGUAGUUGGUGGGGUAAUGGCCUACCAAGCCGACGAUCCAUAGCUGGUUUGAGAGGAUGAUCAGCCACACUGGGACUGAGACACGGCCCAGACUCCUACGGGAGGCAGCAGUGGGGAAUCUUAGACAAUGGGCGCAAGCCUGAUCUAGCCAUGCCGCGUGAGCGAUGAAGGCCUUAGGGUUGUAAAGCUCUUUCAGGGGGGAAGAUAAUGACUGUACCCCCAGAAGAAGCCCCGGCUAACUCCGUGCCAGCCGCCGCCGUAACAC